UAUUAACUGCCAAGAAUCAUUGACUCUCAGAUAUGGUCUUUUCCAGCCCAGUCAGUGUUGAAGAAAGAAUGUGGGACCAUCUAUACAAAAAGUGUAUAUCCUACCAGUCUGCUAUGGCCCCUCCUCUUCCGAUAUGGGUGUAUACAGGAUGGUGCAUUAGACUUAAUGAUAUCUUAAACAACCCAGAAUUUGAAGGAGUGAAUAAUUACAGCAGAUCAAGACUGAAUUACCCACACUGACAGCUUCAAGCGAUGGCUCCCUGAAUUUCUUUGUUCCUGCUAAUGGAUUUGAGAAAUACAAUAUCCCAGCAGCUGCAACUGGCUAGAGAAACCUCCCUGAUGUCUCUACAAUGUCAAAAUAAUUUAUCAACUAACCAAACAGGAGGAGGCAGCUGUUGCUUUCAAGGGUAGGAUGAGGCCAUGAGAGUCAGACAAAAGAAAGGCAAAGAGGAAAGGAUUUAAUAGGAGACCACACUCUAGGAAGAGAGUGUUAUUGUGACAGAGGAACAAAUAUUGUCUUAAACCCCUAAUCUAGUUUACAUGGGCUUUUUCUUAUUUUAAUUUAAGUUGUUUUUCACAAAUCCAAUCCAAUCUACCCAUAAACCAAAAGGAAAAGAAAACCUCUGCUUUUGUUGUUUUGAUUUCAUUUCAUUUCCAUCGUGUAAGAACAUUUCAGCCUAAGAUCAGAUUCAGCCCAAGAGCACAACCCAAAGUUUUCUUCAGAAAAUUAUACAAUAUAGAGGUGAGUAGGGAAGCAGAUGUUGUUGGUGUCCAGUGCCAUUGUUCAUGCUGAUUGAGGCUGGUUGAGGCUGGAGGCCAACACCAUAUGGAGCAGCUACAUAUUCCUCUCCCAUACCCCCAUGUAGAGAAAACUAUGCCAUUUUGCCCAAUGGAAUAUUGAAUGUACAGCAGCACCACAACAGAAUAAACUCAAGAUACACUUUUGCCCA
rnacentral:lncRNA from 1 species